rnacentral:rRNA from 1 species
GAUGAACGCUGGCGGCGUGCCUAAUACAUGCAAGUCGAGCGAACAGAUGAGGAGCUUGCUUCUCUGAUGUUAGCGGCGGACGGGUGAGUAACACGUGGGUAACCUACCUAUAAGACUGGGAUAACUCCGGGAAACCGGGGCUAAUACCGGAUAAUAUUUUGAACCGCAUGGUUCAAUAGUGAAAGACGGUUUCGGCUGUCACUUAUAGAUGGACCCGCGCCGUAUUAGCUAGUUGGUAAGGUAACGGCUUACCAAGGCGACGAUACGUAGCCGACCUGAGAGGGUGAUCGGCCACACUGGAACUGAGACACGGUCCAGACUCCUACGGGAGGCAGCAGUAGGGGAUCUUCCGCAAUGGGCGAAAGCCUGACGGAGCAACGCCGCGUGAGUGAUGAAGGUCUUCGGAUCGUAAAACUCUGUUGUUAGGGAAGAACAAAUUUGUUAGUAACUGAACAAGUCUUGACGGUACCUAACCAGAAAGCCACGGCUAACUACGUGCCAGCCGCCGCGGUAA